AUUGAACGCUGGCGGCAUGCUUUACACAUGCAAGUCGAACGGCAGCACGGGUGCUUGCACCUGGUGGCGAGUGGCGAACGGGUGAGUAAUGCCUCGGAACGUAUCCAAUAAUGGGGGAUAACGCAUCGAAAGGUGUGCUAAUACUGCAUACGAACUGAGGGGGAAAGUGGGGGACCGUAAGGCCUCACGUGAAUGGAGCGGCCGAUGCCUGGUUAGCUAGUUGGUGAGGUAAAGGCUCACCAAGGCGACGAUCAGUAGCUGGUCUGAGAGGAUGAUCAGCCACACUGGGACUGAGACACGGCCCAGACUCCUACGGGAGGCAGCAGUGGGGAAUUUUGGACAAUGGGCGCAAGCCUGAUCCAGCCUUGCCGCGUGAGUGAAGAAGGCCUUCGGGUUGUAAAGCUCUUUCGCAAGGGAAGAAAACUUAGUUCUUAAUACGAGCUGAGGAUGACGGUACCUUGAUAAGAAGCACCGGCUAACUACGUGCCAGCCGCCGCCGUAAUAC
rnacentral:rRNA from 1 species